rnacentral:rRNA from 1 species
ACGUAGGGUCCGAGCGUUGUCCGGAUUUAUUGGGCGUAAAGAGCGUGUAGGCGGCUUUACAGGUCCGUUGUGAAAACUCGAGGCUCAACCUCGAGAUGUCGGCGGAAACCAUCUGGCUAGAGUCCGGAAGAGGAGAGUGGAAUUCCUGGUGUAGCGGUGAAAUGCGCAGAUAUCAGGAAGAACACCCGUGGCUAAGGCGGCUCUCUAGUACGGUACUGACGCUGAGACGCGAAAGCGUGGGGAGCGAACAGGA